ACGCUCGACACCUACGGGAGGCAGCAGUGGGGAAUAUUGCACAAUGGGGAAACCCUGAUGCAGCAACGCCGCGUGAAGGAAGACGGUUUUCGGAUUGUAAACUUCUAUCGACAGGGACGAAGAAAGUGACGGUACCUGAAUAAGAAGCCCCGGCUAACUACGUGCUAGCAGCCGCGGUAAUCUGAGCGGGCUGGCAAGGC
rnacentral:rRNA from 1 species